AGAGGAGAGUGAUGAUGAUGAUACUGCAGCUCUUCUUGCAGAACUGGAAAAAAUUAAAAAAGAAAGAGCUGAAGAGCAGGCCAGGAAGGAGCAAGAACAAAAAGCUGAAGAAGAAAGGAUUCGUAUGGAAAACAUUCUGAGUGGAAAUCCUCUCCUUAAUCUCACUGGCCCUUCCCAGCCUCAGACCAACUUCAAAGUUAAAAGAAGGUGGGAUGAUGAUGUCGUUUUCAAGAACUGUGCAAAAGGUGUAGAUGAUCAGAAGAAAGACAAAAGAUUUGUAAAUGAUACACUGCGAUCUGAAUUUCACAAAAAGUUUAUGGAGAAAUAUAUUAAGUAGUACAGUUUUAUGUGCUUAAAUUAAAGACUAAAAUGUGAAUGAU